AGAGUUUGAUCCUGGCUCAGGAUGAACGCUGGCGGCGUGCCUAAUACAUGCAAGUCGAGCGAACGGACGAGAAGCUUGCUUCUCUGAUGUUAGCGGCGGACGGGUGAGUAACACGUGGAUAACCUACCUAUAAGACUGGGAUAACUUCGGGAAACCGGAGCUAAUACCGGAUAAUAUUUUGAACCGCAUGGUUCAAAAGUGAAAGACGGUCUUGCUGUCACUUAUAGAUGGAUCCGCGCUGCAUUAGCUAGUUGGUAAGGUAACGGCUUACCAAGGCAACGAUGCAUAGCCGACCUGAGAGGGUGAUCGGCCACACUGGAACUGAGACACGGUCCAGACUCCUACGGGAGGCAGCAGUAGGGAAUCUUCCGCAAUGGGCGAAAGCCUGACGGAGCAACGCCGCGUGAGUGAUGAAGGUCUUCGGAUCGUAAAACUCUGUUAUUAGGGAAGAACAUAUGUGUAAGUAACUGUGCACAUCUUGACGGUACCUAAUCAGAAAGCCACGGCUAACUACGUGCCAGCAGCCGCGGUAAUACGUAGGUGGCAAGCGUUAUCCGGAAUUAUUGGGCGUAAAGCGCGCGUAGGCGGUUUUUUAAGUCUGAUGUGAAAGCCCACGGCUCAACCGUGGAGGGUCAUUGGAAACUGGAAAACUUGAGUGCAGAAGAGGAAAGUGGAAUUCCAUGUGUAGCGGUGAAAUGCGCAGAGAUAUGGAGGAACACCAGUGGCGAAGGCGACUUUCUGGUCUGUAACUGACGCUGAUGUGCGAAAGCGUGGGGAUCAAACAGGAUUAGAUACCCUGGUAGUCCACGCCGUAAACGAUGAGUGCUAAGUGUUAGGGGGUUUCCGCCCCUUAGUGCUGCAGCUAACGCAUUAAGCACUCCGCCUGGGGAGUACGACCGCAAGGUUGAAACUCAAAGGAAUUGACGGGGACCCGCACAAG
rnacentral:rRNA from 16 species